UCCUGACUCAGGGAGGUAGUGACAAUAAAUAACAACGCAAGGCAUUUACAUGUCCUGUGAUUGGAAUGAGAACAAUUUAAAACUCUUAACGAGGAGCCAUUGGAGGGCAAGUCUGGUGCCAGCAGCCGCGGUAAUUCCAGCUCCAAUAGCGUAUAUUAAAGUUGUUGCAGUUAAAAAGCUCGUAGUUGGAUUGAGAGCCCGUGACGGUUGCGGUCUGCCGGGACGGUAUGCACUGCCUGUCAUUAGGGUUUUUUAUUCGUUCGGUUAGUCCCCUUCUGCUCUUCAUUGAGUGGGAGGUGCUUGGCUCCGAACUGUUUACUGUGAAAAAAUUAGAGUGUUCAAAGCAGGCAUCCUCGCCUUGAAUACAUUAGCAUGGGAUAAUAGAAUAGGACUUUUCUCCUAUUUUGUUGGUUUCUAGGAAAGAAGUAAUGAUUAACAGGGAUAGUUGGGGGCGUUUAUAUUUAAUUGUCAGAGGUGAAAUUCUUGGAUUUCUGAAAGAUAAACUGCUGCGAAAGCGUUCGCCAAGGAUGUUUUCAUUAAUCAAGAACGAAAGUUAGGGGAUCGAAGACGAUCAGAUACCGUCGUAGUCUUAACCAUAAACUAUGCCGACCAGGGAUUGGAAGACGUUAAAAAUUUUUCAUACGACUCCUCCAGCACCUUGUGAGAAAUCAUAAGUUUUUGGGUUCCGGGGGGAGUAUGGUCGCAAGGCUGAAACUUAAAGGAAUUGACGGAAGGGCACCACCAGGAGUGGAGCCUGCGGCUUAAUUUGACCCAACACGGGGAAACUUACCAGGUCCAGACACAGUUAGGAUUGACAGAUUGAGAGCUCUUUCUUGAUUCUGUGGGUGGUGGUGCAUGGCCGUUCUUAGUUGGUGGAGUGAUUUGUCUGCUUAAUUGCGAUAACGAACGAGACCUUAACCUGCUAAAUAGUUAUGCUAACGUUAGGUUCCCGUGGGCCCUCGGGUCCGUGUUGGUUCCGUGUUGGUAGAUAUACUUCUUAGAGGGACUAUGCAUGUUUAGUGCAUGGAAGUUUGAGGCAAUAACAGGUCUGUGAUGCCCUUAGAUGUUCUGGGCUGCACGCGCGCUACACUGAUUCACUCAACGAGUUUUUAACUUCCUUCUCCGAAAGGAGUGGGUAAUCUUUUGAAAUUGAAUCGUGCUGGGGAUAGAUGAUUGCAAUUAUUCAUCUUGAACAAGGAAUUCCUAGUAAACGUGACCCAUCAGGUCGCGUUGAUUACGUCCCUGCCCUUUGUACACACCGCCCGUCGCUCCUACCGAUUGAAUGUUCCGGUGAAAUGUUCGGAUGCAGAUGUAUGUGUUGGGGCAACCUAACAUGGCGUCAGCAGAAGAUCCUUAAACCUUAACAUUUAGA
rnacentral:rRNA from 1 species